AUUGAACGCUGGCGGCAUGCUUUACACAUGCAAGUCGAACGGCAGCGCGGGCUUCGGCCUGGCGGCGAGUGGCGCACGGGUGAGUAAUGCAUCGGAACGUGCCCAGUAGUGGGGGAUAGCCCGGCGAAAGCCGGAUUAAUACCGCCUACGACCUGAGGGUGCAAGCGGGGGACCGAAAGGCCUCGCGCUAUUGGAGCGGCCGAUGUCGGAUUAGCUAGUUGGUGGGGUAAAGGCUUACCAAGGCGACGAUCCGUAGCUGGUCUGAGAGGACGACCAGCCACACUGGGACUGAGACACGGCCCAGACUCCUACGGGAGGCAGCAGUGGGGAAUUUUGGACAAAGGGGGCAACCCUGAUCCAGCCAUGCCGCGUGCGGUAAGAAGGCCUUCGGGUUGUAAACCGCUUUUGUUCGGGAAGAAAUCCUCUGGGCUAAUACCCCGGGGGGAUGACGGUACCGGAAGAAUAAGCACCGGCUAACUACGUG
rnacentral:rRNA from 1 species